UCUCCUAAUUCCAUCGUACAUUCUCUAUUUCCUAUAUCUAAUAAUUUGGUGAUGAUUCUCAAUCCAUCGUUCGUCUUCCAUUUUCUCCAUUGUUCAUCCUUCAUCCUCGACUGCCUCCAUCAACAACAUAAAUCCAAAACUUUUUAAAGCUCCACUUUUAAAAGUAUUAUCCAUCAGUUCAUAUAUCCAAGAUGAUGUGAGCCAUAUAAAUCUUUUUGUUUAUUUAGUUCCAUCAUCGUGACCACGUCUUGACUCUUUCCCUGAAAAACUCAAGAAUCUCUCUUGUUGUAUUUACGAUCAAAACAAUCUCUUGCAUAUUACUAUUCAGCCGUGUUUGAUAUGAUGUGAAGUAAUGGAGUUUUGGAGCUACAGUGACGUUUUGAUUAUUGAUAUUGGACUUUUGGAUGUAUUCAUAAAGUGGUUUGAGGCUUAACAUAUUGGACGAGCUAAACAUUUUAUUUUUAUUUUUUUUAAGUGACUAGCCGUUAAAGAAAAGGACCCGAUUGGUUGAUUUGCAGCAGCUUUUGUAACGCUCAUCAAGAAAAGGACUUGAUGUGCAACAAUUCAUGUAACGACUGUCAGAAAAAGGACCAUGACUGCACAAUUUCAUUACAACAUGUAAAGGCUAUUAAUGUGCGCUUAUGGACGCCUGUUAGACUGAAAUGUGUAUGCAACACAAUUUCAAAUCAUUUGAUUCCAUGCGGGAUCCCAAAGGCGGUACCACAUGGGGGGAAGAGGGGCCAAUACCCCAUUGAAAUUUUGAUCUUGUUAUGUAUUUAAAAAAAUUUCAUGGAUUUUUAAAACUUUA